rnacentral:rRNA from 1 species
AUUGAACGCUGGCGGCAUGCUUUACACAUGCAAGUCGAACGGUAACAGGCCUUCGGGUGCUGACGAGUGGCGAACGGGUGAGUAAUGCAUCGGAACGUGCCCAAUCGUGGGGGAUAACGUAGCGAAAGUUACGCUAAUACCGCAUAAGCCCUGAGGGGGAAAGGUGGGGGACCGCAAGGCCUCACGCGAAUGGAGCGGCCGAUGUCAGAUUAGCUAGUUGGUGGGGUAAAGGCCCACCAAGGCGACGAUCUGUAGCGGGUCUGAGAGGAUGAUCCGCCACACUGGGACUGAGACACGGCCCAGACUCCUACGGGAGGCAGCAGUGGGGAAUUUUGGAC